rnacentral:tRNA from 1 species
AGGGUUAUAGUUUAAUUAAAACAUUUAGCUUGCAACUAAAAAAAACACUGGUUAUCCCUA